CCUACUUGAGGAGAUUUGAUUCAUUCCGAAUUAAAGAAUUCAGAAUGUCAGAAUGAAAGGGUUCGCUUUGAC